AUGGGGCAGAGAGAAAAGGAGCCAGGGAGGAGAGCAGGGAGGACUGAUGUGGUCUCAGCCACUGACCAGCACAGCAGUUUUCACAGCAGCUCUCUGGAUACAAACCAGCAGAUCAAGGAAACCUCUGAAGGUGUGGGCAUUGCUGGGAGGUGGGAACACACCGAGACACCCAAAGUGAGCCCUCAAAUCGCAGACAGAUGGGCUGGCAGGUGCCAGCUUUACCUUCAAACCGAUCUGCUGGUAAUCACACUCAGCUGGGCUCCUGUGUCUCUGCAGUCUGUGGCUGCUCCCAGGCUUGGUUCCCUGCUGCAUCUUUGGAUGCUCCUUCUGCCCUACAGCACCCCAAAAUCCUUCCUCCCGCAGUGUCAGAAGACCUCUUGCCCUGGCAGCGGUGCUGUGCUCCAAGCAGAGCACAACACGUCUCAUCCUGAGCCUGCCUCACUUAAAUCCUCACACUGUCACCACCGAAAUGUUGCUGCAGAGACCUCGGAAUUCCCCGAGCAUUUGAUUUCAAGGGGUUAUUUCACAGAGAUGGGAAAGGGAGGACUUAAGAAGCGUCCAGCCGGAGGAGCAGCAGAUGGCUGGAUGUGGCUACACGGGAAGCAAAGGCAGCGCUACAGAGCGCAGUUUCAUCUUUCAAGUCUUGUGCUCCCAAGAUCUACAUGCCAUUUCUUGGAUGUGGUUUGCCCUGAGGGCAAUCUCAACAGCUGUGAAGUUUCAACAGAUGAACAGCGUAGUUUUCAAUAAAUUUCACAAAGCAACUAAAUGAUUUUAACUCAUUCGUGUAUGUCCACUUUUGGUAUUAAGGCUCUUCCUAAUGCUAAUUCAUUAAUGUUGUGUCUCCCACUUGAACUCCAGGGCCUGACUGCUGGAGAACAUCUGACCACUAGCAAGAUUGUUCUGCUCCCCAUUUUUGGAGAGCCUUUCCCCAUCAAAAGAAGCUUCUCUCAGCCACAUCCAUGGAUUCUGAGAGGUCUAAGUCCAUUUCUGCAUUUACCUGUCCCACUUAAUGCCACUGUGAGCUGCCUGUGGUGAAAGGUACCAAACGUGGAAGCUGGAUUCAUUUUCCCUGGGGGAAAAUGAUCUACUGAGUGGUGAACACCUUACUUUGUAGGAGGAAUUCCCCUCAUCUCUCGAUGUGGAAAGAGGUGACAUGUAUUGAACCCAGUCAAAGAAGGACUUGUGUGUCCCAAAAAUCAUCAGUUAGUCCUAGUGAAAUGACCUCUUCCAAAACAUCUCCAGCAUACACUCAGAUCAUAAGGACAACAGUAUGAGCAGUGUGAAUUUACUGCUAAUACAAGGCAAGAUGGUAAACCUGAGCCCUGUUUUGUUUCCUUCGAUGCAACAGAGAACCCAUAAGCAUACAACAAAAUAGUCACAGAACAUUUGAUUUGUGUGUAGUUAAAGGAGCUGAGUAAUAAGGCUGCAGUGUGCUGCCCUGUAUCCUGAUGGGAUCUGCCAGGCUGUUUCAGGGAGUCUAAAGCAGCAAGUUCACACACCCUCACAGGGGAUACCACUGCUGUGCAGCCCUGGAGCGAGCUCACACCUUUAUAGGGCUCCGUGUUUUACCUGCACUGUCCCAGCAAUGGGGCUUGGCAUUUCCUUCUCAUCCAAAUGUCUGCCCAGAGGCCACUUCCCUCUGUUCUGCUCCCUGGUUGGUCUCAAUUCCCUCCUCUGUGCAGCAGACACAGCAGACAUCUCCAGAGAGCUGCUCCCAGCAGUCUUCCCAAGCAGAGAGCUGCUUACAUGGCUGCUGGGAGCUUAUGGCUCAGAGGAGUCUGAGCAAAACAACACACAAGUGAAUAUGGAAGUGAGGGUGGGGGCUGUGUCUCAGGCAGAGGCAUCUGUGACCUUUAAGGAGGCUGUUAGCACCAACUCAUGAACAGCUACUGCUUUGAACUAGAAUAUUACGUUUACAGGCUACCUCCCCCAGAUCCCCCGUGUUCCCAAGCAAGGGUAUAAUGCCUAUAUGGCAGCCUGAAAGACCCUGAGCAAUGGUGCAGCUUCUCUGCAAGCAGUUCACAACCACCUGUGAUUCAGGGUCCUUUGUUUCAGCUCUUCAAAAUAUCUCAUGGAUUUCAAUCACCCCAUUGUUCUCCUCUGCCCUACUGACUCUGUCCAGCCCAGCAGCUCCCAACAUCUGUUCUCAGCUGGAAAUAUCUUUGCCUUUCUUUUCUGUUCUCUGUAGAAGCAGUUGAUGGUGUCUUCCCUCCACAUGGAAGGCUAAUAGCCCCUGCAAAUGCACAGGGAACUCUGGUUCUGCACUGGUUUGUAGUUACUUCUGCUGAAAUGCUCUUUCAGCUGCAGCCUUCACCAUAGAUAGCUGAGCUCGAGGCAGAGGACACCCACAUGCUCCUCCACUGGAACACUGCAUGCUUUUUGUCUGGCUUCAGCUUACUGCAGGCAAGAGCACAGGCUGAAGAGAUGCCUGAGUGAUAUGGAGGGGUAGGAGGGUCUCAGUGGCAGGGAGGCUGUGUGGGAAAGAGGUACUAGGGGAGAGGAACCUGCUGCUUCGGUGCCAUUUGCUGAGGAGCGAGUGAGAGGGAGGGCCAGGAGUUUGGCUGCCCUGAGCAGAAACGUGCAUGAAGAACACCUCAACCCACACCCUGAAUUCCACAGCUCAGUGCAGGGGACAGGGGAAGCAAGGAAGGACAGGAUGGGAUGUUUCCAGCAGACCCACAGCAUGUUCCUAACAGCCUUGUCCCAGCAGUCGUGGCUGUCUCCCUCCCCCAGUGCCUUCACAUCUCAUAUUGCAUUUUAUUAAUGCAAUCCCCCUUAGGCUAGAGGGAAUCGUAUCCCAGGAGACAUUCCAAUCUCAGCUCUGCUUUGGAGGGGAUCAGAGAGAGGCAAGGGUGGGGGGUGUUUCACCAGGACAUUUCAUUGCAGAAAAACUGGCAGAUUGAACAUGCUGCAAGAUAGCACUAGCAACCUCCUUAUCAGACAUCGAGCCACAGGCUGCAGCCAAUUGCUCCAUGCUCCUGCUCUGGCUCACUGCCUCCGAGGACCACUUGUUUCUGCUGUGUCCACACCGUGGGCUUAAAGCUCUACAUCUGGGCAGGGGGCUGCUCACAGGGUGUGGGGUUUGCCCUUUUGUUCAGGGAUGAACACAGCUGUGCAUGCAGGCAGAUCUGUGCUGCCACAGGGGCUCGGCCAAGUCCUUCUCCUAUACAGCGCGUGCCACGACAACCAGCUCCUCAUCAUGCUUGCCCUCGUUGCUAGCCAGGGCUGACAUCUCUCACCAGAAAUGGGAGCUGGCUCCCAGGCGUCUGGCUUCUGAGGUGAAUUGUGUUGUGCACUGAGCCUCUGCCAGGAAAACACCAGCAGAUGAAACUCCAUCUCUGGCCAAGAGACAUAAAAAUGGAUGUGUUUUCCUUGCCCGGCUUAUCUUGCGGGCAGUGCUUCUCACUGUAGCCCCGUGCUGUUUGUGUGCGCUCCACUCCUGGCACAGACCAGGAGCUGAUUAACAACAAACACCAGGGCCUGGAGCCCACGAAACCACGGUGGGGCAGAGAGCUGCUGGCUGGGGGCAAAUCCCAGAGCUGGAUUGUUGCAAUGGGGCUGUGGCCUUAACUCAAAGUUAAGGUAUGUGAAGUUUGAAUGAAAGUCAGUCACAAACAAAUGCAAAGUAAGUAGUAGUGGCCCAUGUAUAACUUUCUGGCCUAACCAAAACUUUCUAGAAAUUCAUACCAAGGCUGUUGAAUUAGCCUGGUUAAAGAGAAAUCUGGGGAAAAAAAAUUAAAACCACUUUAUUUUGGAACUUUGAAGAGGCAUGGUUUGGAUUCAGGACAACUUGCACAAUUCAAGUCACCUCAUUAAAAAUUAUGAAGAAGCCAAGCGCCUCACCAACCAACAGAAAUGUUCACGUAUUACUUUAGAUGUUAUUUUACCUUUCUACUUCUGAUUCUGAGUCCUCCUACUGCUCCUUCCCCACACUCCUGUGCUGGGCUGCCAGCUGAGGAGCAGCAUCUGGUAACUUAAAGGCUGUCCAAGAGGGAAAUCCUUCCCAGUCCUGGCGUUUCCAAGGGCAGCUCACCACAUAUGCCCCCCAGCGCUGUUUGCACCUACCAGCACCUGCACAAACAUCCACUUUGGCUGCCCAGGGGAAAACAUGACGCCAGGGCCAAAGCAAAAGAGAACCUCUGAAAAUGAGAGGGUGAGAGCAGUGACUUGCCUGAUGGUGAUGCUUUCCCAUUUAUUACCCAGGGAGCAGUGGUGAUGGAGACAAUUCACGAGGCCAUCACCUACCCAGGGAACAAGAAAGACAUUAGAGGAACCAAAAGGGUUACUCUGUCCUGGGGCGCUGGCUUCAGGACCCUCCUCCAGCUGCUCACAGCAAUGCCCCAAAGGUGCAGUGCUCCUGCUGACUUUGCAAGGAUCCUGAGGCCAGGCCCUCAGCCCCACAGCACACAGCUGCGAAAGUCACACCAGGGAAGUGGCAGGAAACAAAAGGACUUUGGACAGACAGGCCUAAUCCAUUUAAAUUUAGUUUAUCUCUCACCUCCCCCUUCCCCUUCUCUCAGAGACCUGUUCUCUCUCCUGCUCUCAGUCCGAAGUGUCACAGCAGUGUCUUGCUGCUGUUUCACACUGAAAUGUCCCACCGACUGAGAGUCAUGCUAUUUGCUAUUCAGAACAGAGAGAAAUCAGAACUGCUGUUUCCUUCAUCUUGCACACUGUUAGCACUGGCUGGUGGUUCCUUGCAAGGCUCAUGUCAUGAUUAGCACCAAAGGAACAAGAUGCUUUGGCACUAUGGUCCUGCAAAUUGUCCUCCAAAUCCAGCUAAACAGGGAUUAUCCAGAGAGUUGGAAAAAGUGAGCGAGGGAGGCUGGCUUCAACAAAAGGGCAGGGAACCCCCCAUGCUCCCUGUUUCUGAGGCCACAGAGCUCAUCAUACACAUGACACAGCCAAGCCCUGCCUUACAAACCUCUCCACCAUUCUCAUCCCUGUUGACAGCUCUGGCUGGCCAACAGCUCCUGGUUUGAGCCCCAUCACAACUCAGGCACCAAGGAACAAAGUAUGCGGCCCAGCCUCAGCUCACAGACCAGCAGGCACUGAGGCAGCUGUCGAGCAAGAAAAUCCAUGCACCGGUGGGACCUCCCAGUCAUGAAGGUUCCUAUGGAUCUCCUGCAGCCACCAUGAGCUCCCUGAUCCCUAAAGGUUGCUCCAGCCUAGCAGAAGCUGCAGGAAAGCAAGCUGGCUGCACUUGCACUGAGAGGUGUCAGCCUGUUGGUGCUCCGGGGUUGGGGUGGAAGCCCUGUGCUCCUCUGCCAGAAUCCUCUGUACAUUCAG
ensembl:lncRNA